rnacentral:rRNA from 1 species
GGGCCCCCGGGAUUCGCUCCCAACCCCUGUGACUACCACUUGUUGCCUCGGCGGAUCAGCCCGCUCCCGGUAAAACGGGACGGCCCGCCGAGGACCCCUAAACUCUGUUUCUAUAUGUAACUUCUGAGUAAAACCAUAAAUAAAUCAAAACUUUCAACAACGGAUCUCUUGGUUCUGGCAUCGAUGAAGAACGCAGCAAAAUGCAAUAAGUAAUGUGAAUUGCAUAAUUCAGUGAAUCAUCGAAUCUUUGAACGCACAUUGCGCCCGCCAGUAUUCUGGCGGGCAUGCCUGUUCGAGCGUCAUUUCAACCCUCAAGCACAGCUUGGUGUUGGGACUCGCGUUAAUUCGCGUUCCUCAAAUUGAUUGGCGGUCACGUCGAGCUUCCAUAGCGUAGUAGUAAAACCCUCGUUACUGGUAAUCGUCGCGGCCACGCCGUUAAACCCCAACUUCUGAAUGUUGACCUCGGAUCAGGUAGGAAUACCCGCUGAACUUAAGCAUAUCAAUAAGCGGAGGAAAA